GAAAAGAGGUUGCUUUGCUGAAUUUUUCAAGUUGAAAAGUCAGCACCAACCGCAAAAUGAGUUUAAGGAAUAAGAGUAAAGCUUAUGACAGUAUGCAUGAAAAAGCUCCAAACCGUAAAACGCAAGUGGGAAGCAAAGGCGGAAUCGCGCAACAUGACAAAAAAAGUUCAGAAUCGCGUUUCACACAAGCACUUAUUUGAAACGCAAUUUUUGAACGCCAAACCAGAACUAACUUGCUCGGAACUCUCACGGUUUUGGCUCAACAUUACGGUUAAAGCUUGGUUCGAAUUCGAGUCACGAUUCAGCAUUGGAUUGGUUCUGAUUCAGAGUUUUGUUUCAAUUCGAAGUUUGGCUUUGGGUUGCAAUUAUGUUUUCGCAAUUUGGUUCGAAUUUGUUCAACUCAGUUUGUGUUUCGGUUCCGGUUUGUAUUCUCGCGGUAAUCAUCCACACAAGAUGAAAAGAAAGGCAAAUACAUAAACAAGCAUGCAAAGAUAACUCAAACAAGCAAGCAAUCAUGGAAGACACAAGCAAGCAAAGAAUUCAUAGAAUGAUAAAUAAAGUUUGAGGCUUACUGAUCGGAGACCCUCCGAUGGUUCUUCAAUGGCGACCCAAAUUCAAUACGGUAAACGGUUCUUCAAUUCCUCUUCAUCCCUUUUUCAUCCUUUUUAUUUUCUUCCAUUUGUUUUCUUGUGGUUGUUGAUUUUUUUGCCACUUUCCGAUGCCUGAGACAUGAAAAAUUAUGGUGUCAAGUGUAGUGAAGGUUUAUGCUCAAGUUUAUUGAAGCUUCAAUGUGAAGCUUCAACAACCAUGGAUUUGAGCUCUAGUGAGGAAAGGUUGAAAAAUGGAGAAUGGAGAGUGAAAAUUUGAGAGAAAGUGAAGAAUGAGUGGAAUCAAAAAGUGGAGAAGAAUCUCUUUAAUUGGUGAAUGAUGACUGCUUAUAUAAAACUAAGUGAGGGAUGAUUAGAGGUCGAAAAUUAGUUAGAAAUUAGUUGGGGCUGUUUUGGGCACUUUGGGCAAUUGCCCGAAGUAGUUAGAAGUUAGUUUAUGGAAGUUUAAGGUAGUUAGGGUGGUUAAGGCAUGGAUGUAUGUGAAUUUACAUGUAUGUGUAUAUGCUGAAUUUUUAGUGAAUAUGAAGAAAAUUGGAUGAAUUUACAUGACACUACUUGAAUACAUGUUUGGGUAUUUACACGGUAUGAAUGAAUGACUCAUAGAUACAUUUGGAUUGGUGUUCAUGAAUGAAAUAAUGUGUUACAUGCAUGCUGAAUUUUUCUUUUAAUGCACAUGAUUUAAUGGUUUUGACUUAUUGUAUAGAAGUGGAAUAAUAAUCAUACAUAGCAUGGACUUUAUUCAUGGUACAUGCAUAACAUGCAGAAUUUUUAUUGACUUUGUCUUGUUUUUAAUGACUUUGUAUAUGAUGUGAAGGUAUGUGCAUAUGUUGCAUUUUAGAGAUUAAUGACAUGAACUUAAAAUGACUUUGGAAAUGCUAAUGAUGUUGAAUUUUUGUUAUGUAAGUGCUGAAUUUUUUAAAAUGAAUGUAAUAUCUAACUUACUUUUAUUAUUUUCUUUGGAACAUGGUACAUGGUAAUGGAGCAUGAACACACAUGGUCAAAGAUGGAGUAUGAAUGAAGACUAUUGAAGAGUUUGGAAUUAAUUUUAUUCUUUUGUGUAUGAAAUCUUUGUAAUAUAUUUGUAAUGACACAAAGUGAUGUAAAGUGAAGCCAUGUAAUUGUAAAAAUAAUGUUUAGUGACCUUUGAACCUUAUGUACAUGAAUUGGAAGACCAUGAAUAAAAAAGGAAUUAUAGCUCAAA